UACGUAGGGGGCAAGCGUUGUCCGGAUUUAUUGGGCGUAAAGAGCGUGUAGGCGGCCAAACAGGUCAGCUGUGAAAACUCCGAGGCUCAACCUCGAGACGUCGGUUGAAACCGUUUGGCUAGAGUCCGGAAGAGGAGAGUGGAAUUCCCGGUGUAGCGGUGAAAUGCGCAGAUAUCGGGAAGAACACCCGUGGCGAAGGCGGCUCUCUGGGACGGUACUGACGCUGAGACGGCG
rnacentral:rRNA from 1 species